UGAACGCUAGCGGCAGGCCUAAUACAUGCAAGUCGAGGGGUAACAUGAGAGCUUGCUCUUGAUGACGACCGGCGCACGGGUGCGUAACGCGUAUGCAACCUACCCACAACUGGAGCAUAGCCCGGAGAAAUCCGGAUUAAUACUCCAUAAUGCAGGGGUACCUCCUGGUACUAUUUGCUAAAGAUUUAUCGGUUGUGGAUGGGCAUGCGUCUGAUUAGUUUGUUGGUGAGGUAACGGCUCACCAAGACCACGAUCAGUAGGGGGUCUGAGAGGAUGAUCCCCCACACUGGCACUGAGAUACGGGCCAGACUCCUACGGGAGGCAGCAGUAGGGAAUAUUGGGCAAUGGGCGAAAGCCUGACCCAGCCAUGCCGCGUGAAGGAUGAAGGCCUUCUGGGUUGUAAACUUCUUUUAUAUAGGAAGAAAAAGGUCAUGCGUGACCAAUUGACGGUACUAUAUGAAUAAGCACCGGCUAACUCC
rnacentral:rRNA from 1 species